rnacentral:rRNA from 1 species
UACGGAGGAUGCAAGCGUUAUCCGGAAUGAUUGGGCGUAAAGGGUCCGCAGGUGGCAAUGUGUGUCUGCUGUCAAAGAAUGAGGCUUAACCUCAUCAAGGCAGUGGAAACUACAUAGCUAGAGUACGGUCGGGGUAGAAGGAAUUCCUGGUGUAGCGGUGAAAUGCGUAGAGAUCAGGAAGAACACCGGUGGCGAAAGCGUUCUGCUAGACCUGUACUGACACUGAGGGACGAAAGCGUGGGGAGCAAACAGG